ACUCUGUGUGGUGCAGACUAGAGACACAUAAGGGGCCUGAGUCCAGGAGGUGGUUAGCAUGAAGAGCGAGUGUGAACGAGCCACAGGCAUCCUUGGCUAUAAGAAGGCUGUCACCAUGGACACUGAGGAGUGGCACCUCCUGCUUGGAGCUUCUCGUGAAGCUGAACAAAUCUAGCCUGGCUUCACGCGUGCUCUAUGAAGUACCAAGAAUGAAAUCAGGCCAGAACAUUUUUAAAGAAGUCGGAUUUUUCAAGGACUAUCUUGGAUUUCCUUUUCUUUGUAUGUUUAAACAACCGUAGAUGUUGAGAAAUCCAAAGGACCUACUCAUAACACCACUCUGCAAAGUUGCCAGCUGCCUACAACUCUGAAGAUUUGUCCUAUGAUCAAGUACAAUCUGGACUUGGUCUUCUGUUCUAGACAUGGUGUUCAGGGAAAUUCCUUCCACAGUGUUCAUUGUAUUGAAGGGAAUAAUACAGCAAUAUGUGAUUGAUUGCUACGGCUGCUCUCACCAAGUUGCCCUGCAUUGCAUCAGCUGCCAGCAUAGGACAGGGCCAAAUAAAAAGCUUAGUAAGGC
rnacentral:lncRNA from 7 species